UUAAUUGUGGUAUUGACAGAAGAAAUCUAGUGAAUAAUUACUGAGUUGAUAUCUACAAUUCAAAAAUUUAUUUAAAAAUCGAAAAUGCCAUCGGGGAAAGAGAAUUUCAGGUGCAGUUUUUUGGAAUCAGGUGGUAAUAGUAACUAAUUAAUGACCAAGUUCACGAAACAAUCUUGGAAUGCGUUAAUAUUGACAAUUUGUGGUUACCCCAAGACCUGAAUCCAUUCCUAACUUCAAUAGUGACUCAUCGUCCCAGAAAUUGAAAGUGUCAAUUACCCCUCCCCUCAAAUCAAUAAAAAACAAUAAAUUAAGAAGACUGCAGCGUCGAGCCAGAGAACGAAUAUUCGACGCUGAGAAAUCAGAUGUCACACAUGUGUCACGAGUCAACUGACAAACACGAAUGAACACCUCCGAGGAUGAAGGGCACGUAAACAAGAACCAGAUGAGGGAUUUGGCAGUGACAAAUGGUGAAUGCAAAUGAACUACUGGAGUAACGGUCGUGUCGUGGGUUAAAAGUCUUGAAAAUUAAAAGCACAGGGUGGGGAAAAGGUCCUCGUUGGUACUUCUCAGUAGUACGACUCCCUGGACGACUGUCUCGACCUCGGCACAACUGUCGCCCGCUACAGCUAUUCCUUUCCCUCACCCCCAGAGGGCAAACCCCAAUUUCCCCUUCUCCGACGAAAUUUUACUACCUGCUGGAUCGAUCCGGAGAGGAUGUCAGCUGAAUCCUCAAUAUAUUCCAUCAUCCCCACCCAUUUCACCCUUUCUUUCUUCCUGAAGGGAUUUCAAUAUCUCUGCGGUAAUACGGACCACUUCAAGAAGAGGGAAAAUAAAUUGUGAUGAAAAACUCGGGAAGAUGAUCACUCAAUUUCAGGAAUUACUAGAACCUUGAGGAAAUAGAAGUGC